GGUGCUAGACUGUGUAACAACUUGUUAUGUAAUAUGAAUUUAAACAAAACGAUGAAACAUAUAGCAAGCAGUAUCAUCAUUAUACCUAAUAUACAGCCCGGGAUCGAUGAAAUUGACAGAGAAUUCAUUAUGGAGAAAUGCAUUUUGCAAGGUUACUUUGCACAAUAAAAUACAUUUAGAUUAUUUUGUUUCAGGGGUAACAGGUCUAAACCACAUACCUGUUAUUU